rnacentral:rRNA from 1 species
UACAGAGGUCCCGAGCGUUGUUCGGAUUUAUUGGGCGUAAAGGGUGCGUAGGCGGCUUUCUAAGUUGGAUGUGAAAACUCUGGGCUCAACCCAGAGCCUGCAUCCAAAACUGGAGAGCUUGGGUUCUGGAGGGGGAAGCGGAAUUCCUGGUGUAGCGGUGAAAUGCGUAGAUAUCAGGAGGAACACCGGUGGCGAAGGCGGCUUUCUGGACAGAUACCGACGCUGAGGCACGAAAGCUAGGGGAGCAAACAGG